rnacentral:rRNA from 1 species
UACGGAGGGUGCGAGCGUUAAUCGGAAUUACUGGGCGUAAAGCGCACGCAGGCGGUCUGUUAAGCAAGAUGUGAAAGCCCCGGGCUCAACCUGGGAACUGCAUUUUGAACUUGGCAGGCUAGAGUCUUGGAGAGGGGAGGUGGAAUUCCAGGUGUAGCGGUGAAAUGCGUAGAGAUCUGGAGGAACAUCAGUGGCGAAGGCGGCUCCCUGGCCAAAGACUGACGCUCAUGUGCGAAAGUGUGGGUAGCGAAACAGGAUUGAGAUACCCCUGUAGUCC